AACGAACGCUGGCGGCAUGCCUAACACAUGCAAGUCGAACGAGACCUUCGGGUCUUGUGGCGCACGGGGGCGUAACGCGUGGGAACCUGCCCUUAGGUUCGGAAUAACUCCCCGAAAGGGGUGCUAAUACCGGACAAUGUCUUCGGACCAAAGAUUUAUCGCCUGUGGAUGGGCCCGCGUUGGAUUAGCUUGUUGGUAGGGUAAAAGCCUACCAAGGCGACGAUCCAUAGCUGGUCUGAGAGGAUGAUCAGCCACACUGGGACUGGGACACGGCCCAGACUCCUACGGGAGGCAGCAGUGGGGAAUAUUGGACAAUGGGCGAAAGACUGAUGCAGCAAUGCCGCGUGAGUGAUGAAGGCGGUAGGGUUGUAAAGCUCUUUUACCCGGGAUGAUAAUGACGGAACCGGGAGAAUAAGCUCCGGCUAAUUCCGU
rnacentral:rRNA from 1 species